GACGAAGACGCCAUCUCAAAAAACAAACAAAACAAACAAAGAAACAAACAGCUGCCUCAAAAACGGACCUGAAGGAUUUCUGUAAAGGAAGUGUGGGAACUGAGAGAUAUGGCACAUCUACAAGAAUCAGGCAUGAGCUGGACCAUGAACAAGUUGGUCCCCCGCCAAACCCAGAGGCUAUAAAUAGGAUGGCAGAGACAGUAACCCAUCA